GAUGAACGCUGGCGGCGUGCCUAAUACAUGCAAGUCGAGCGAACGGACGAGAAGCUUGCUUCUCUGAUGUUAGCGGCGGACGGGUGAGUAACACGUGGAUAACCUACCUAUAAGACUGGGAUAACUUCGGGAAACCGGAGCUAAUACCGGAUAAUAUUUUGAACCGCAUGGUUCAAAAGUGAAAGACGGUCUUGCUGUCACUUAUAGAUGGAUCCGCGCUGCAUUAGCUAGUUGGUAAGGUAACGGCUUACCAAGGCAACGAUGCAUAGCCGACCUGAGAGGGUGAUCGGCCACACUGGAACUGAGACACGGGCCAGACUCCUACGGGAGGCAGCAGUAGGGAAUCUUCCGCAAUGGGCGAAAGCCUGACGGAGCAACGCCGCGUGAGUGAUGAAGGUCUUCGGAUCGUAAAACUCUGUUAUUAGGGAAGAACAUAUGUGUAAGUAACUGUGCACAUCUUGACGGUACCUAAUCAGAAAGCCACGGCUAACUACGUG
rnacentral:rRNA from 1 species